CAGCUGACUCUUAAUCAGCGGGUCCGGGGUUCGAGCCCCCGAUCGCCCCCA
rnacentral:tRNA from 1 species